AUUGAACGCUGGCGGCAGGCUUAACACAUGCAAGUCGAGCGGAGAUGAGGUGCUUGCACCUUAUCUUAGCGGCGGACGGGUGAGUAAUGCUUAGGAAUCUGCCUAUUAGUGGGGGACAACAUUCCGAAAGGAAUGCUAAUACCGCAUACGUCCUACGGGAGAAAGCAGGGGAUCUUCGGACCUUGCGCUAAUAGAUGAGCCUAAGUCGGAUUAGCUAGUUGGUGGGGUAAAGGCCUACCAAGGCGACGAGCUGUAGCGGGUCUGAGAGGAUGAUCCGCCACACUGGGACUGAGACACGGCCCAGACUCCUACGGGAGGCAGCAGUGGGGAAUAUUGGACAAUGGGGGGAACCCUGAUCCAGCCAUGCCGCGUGUGUGAAGAAGGCCUUAUGGUUGUAAAGCACUUUAAGCGAGGAGGAGGCUACUGAGACUAAUACUCUUGGGUAGUGGACGUUACUCGCAGAAUAAGCACCGGCUAACUCUGUGCCAGCCGCCGCGGUAACAC
rnacentral:rRNA from 1 species